rnacentral:rRNA from 1 species
UACGUAGGGGGCAAGCGUUGUCCGGAAUUAUUGGGCGUAAAGAGCUCGUAGGCGGUCUGUCGCGUCGGCUGUGAAAACCCGGGGCUCAACCCCGGGCUUGCAGUGGAUACGGGCAGACUAGAGUUCGGUAGGGGAGACUGGAAUUCCUGGUGUAGCGGUGAAAUGCGCAGAUAUCAGGAGGAACACCGGUGGCGAAGGCGGGUCUCUGGGCCGAUACUGACGCUGAGGAGCGAAAGCGUGGGGAGCGAACAGG